GAUGAAGAACGUAGCGAAAUGCGAUAAGUAAUGUGAAUUGCAGAAUUCAGUGAAUCAUCGAAUCUUUGAACGCACAUUGCGCCCGCCCGUAUUCUGGCGGGCAUGCCUGUUCGAGCGUCAUUUCAACCAUCAAGCCCCCGGCUUGUGUUGGGGACCUGCGGCUGCCGCAGGCCCUGAAAACCAGUGGCGGGCUCGCUAGUCACUCCGAGCGUAGUAAUACAUCUCGCUCAGGGCGUGCUGCGGGUUCCGGCCGUUAAAAAGCCUUAUUUACCCAAGGUUGACCUCGGAUCAGGUAGGAAGACCCGCUGAACUUAAGCAUAUCAAUAAGCGGAGGA
rnacentral:misc_RNA from 1 species